rnacentral:pre_miRNA from 1 species
AAAAAGAUAAACCAUGGGUUUCCGUGUCCAACUUUGAUUGUCCGUCUUAUAUGAAAAUUUUUUGUAAUUCGUAUUUUCAUUGUUGCUAGAUGAUAAAACAUGAUAAUAUUUUAUGCGUGACUUGUCUUUUUAAUUUUUUUCAUAAUUUUUUUAAAUAAGACGGACGGUCAAAUGUUGAACACGGAAACUAGGGUUUGUCUUUUU